UACGUAGGUGGCAAGCGUUGUCCGGAUUUAUUGGGCGUAAAGCGAGCGCAGGCGGUUUCUUAAGUCUGAUGUGAAAGCCCCCGGCUCAACCGGAGAGGGUCAUUGGAAACUGGGAGACUUGAGUGCAGAAGAGGAGAGUGGAAUUCCAUGUGUAGCGGUGAAAUGCGUAGAUAUAUGGAGGAACACCAGUGGCGAAGGCGGCUCUCUGGUCUGUAACUGACGCUGAGGCUCGAAAGCGUGGGGGCAAACAGGAUUAGAUAC
rnacentral:rRNA from 1 species